UGCGCAAGUUUCCUUUUGUUUCGCAGGAGCACCACCCCGAUCGAACCCCAGGCCCCCUCUUCUCCCUCCACACCAUCGUCGCCUCAUCCUCCCCCACCACCCUGGGCCCUGCGGAGCUUGUCGCGGAGGGGCGGCCGUGCGGUGGCGGUGGCGGCGGCCCCGGCUGAGGCGGGCGCGGAGGAGGUCGUGCUGCAGCCCAUCCGGCGGAUUUCCGACACCGUGAAGCUUUCGGGGUCCAAGUCUCCAAUCGGAUCCUCCUGCUCGCCGUGCUGUCCGAGGAAUAGCAGCGUCCAAGGAAUCGAAUAUCAAUCUCCGGCAACGAGAAUCAACGUCCGGUGGCGCGAAUUGAUCUCUGGCACCACGAAUCGACCUACGGCGGUGUGGGAGAAGGGCGGAGAGCCACGGCGCAGCCUCGUGCUCGACGGCGUGGGAGGAGAAAGGCCGCGGCAAUCGUUGCCAACCUCUCUGCCAUGGAGGAGGGGGAUUAUGGCUCACACGAGGCGACUUCGGUGGCUCAACGUGACUCACCCUAAUGGCAGCAGUGAUGGGGCGUGCUCCCCGAGUAGCAGAGGUAGAGGUGACGCCCGCAGCCCAAGACGGCGGCGGGGUGCGCUGUCGCAAGGAGAGGGAAGGAGUUGUGAGUUAAUGAGCUUCUUGACUGUUCACUAACCUAUCGAGCUUCUUGAUUGUUGGUGUGUGCGCUGCACAUAUUUGAUGAAAUGCAUGACCUAGCACCAUGUCACAUUCAGAUUGUUGCGUGGUGAUUAUAUCCUUAAUAAAAUAUAACAUAGUGUAAGCACUGCUCUGCCACCUGACUGAUUUUUAGUGGCUCUCUAUGUAUGCAUAUAACAUAAAAACGUUAUUUGUAUUGAAGGCGGUAAUAACAUUUGCAACAAAGAGUACUAAGAGGGAAAGGAGCAAUUUUCAGAACAAGUCAAAAGAUUCACUGUUGACAAGUGAGGAAGCUUCUUCUGGCAGUGGAGGAAGCCUGGAAGAUAUAAUUGUUUCACAGACACAUUAUAUCUAAUGCAUUUGAGGCUUUUGGCUUUGGUACAUGGUCCAAAUAUUUCAUGUUAAUUUUCAUGAACUUUAUGUCGACAGGUUGGUUUUAAAUGACUGGUGCAUUACAUCUUUAGCUCUGCAAAUGGUGUGUUCUACAAUUUUUUACAGGCUGAUAUGUGCUACGAAGAGUGCCUAUAUCUCCCUCAACACCAGGGGCUGCGGAGACAAAUUGAUAUAGCAUUAUGCGUUACAGAGGUUACAAAGAUUGCUGGGUUCAAGUGGCCUGACCUAAAGGUUAAAUCAUGGCCUAUGGUGUGCACGUACAGAAGUUGAGGGAGAAGUAUGGAUGGAUCUCUCCCACAUAUUGUCAUGUCUUGCAUGGUGGUGUUGCACCAAUUAGGCAAUGUUUUAAAUUCUUGUAUCAGUAAUGGAUUAAGACAAGUUCUUAUGGUGGAUCUGAUAUGAUGUUCGCGCUUACUGUUAGUUUUAUUUUGUUUAUUUCUAUUGAUCUGUUAAUUAUGUGCUCACCAACACGUGAUAUAUAUAUUCUUGAUCUA